CUUCUCUUAGGAUAGCAUCUGGAGAGUUUCCAGUACUCUACUAGACUCGGCUAUGGAAGAGAGAGUCAAGCGGACUAUCUAUUCCAUUCCUAGCUUGGGCAGUGGCUAGCGAGUGGAAGGCAAUCUGCUACAAGU